rnacentral:pre_miRNA from 1 species
GUAUAAAGGCGUUUUGUUUUAGAUGUCUUGAGGGAGAACAGUCGAGAAAGGUCUCCCUCAAGACACCUGAAACAAAACGCAAUGA